UGGGGAAUUUUGGACAAUGGGGGCAACCCUGAUCCAGCAAUGCCGCGUGAGUGAAGAAGGCCUUCGGGUUGUAAAGCUCUUUUGUCAGGGAAGAAACACCGGCUCUAACACAGUCCGGGAAUGACGGUACCUGAAGAAUAAGCACCGGCUAACUACGUGCCAGCAGCCGCGGUAAUACGUAGGGUGCAAGCGUUAAUCGGAAUUACUGGGCGUAAAGCGUGCGCAGGCGGUUAUAUAAGACAGAUGUGAAAUCCCCGGGCUCAACCUGGGACCUGCAUUUGUGACUGUAUAGCUAGAGUACGGUAGAGGGGGAUGGAAUUCCGCGUGUAGCAGUGAAAUGCGUAGAUAUGUGGAGGAAUACCAAUGGCGAAGGCAGCCCCCUGGGAUAACACUGACGCUCAUGCACGAAAGCGUGGGGAGCAAACAGG
rnacentral:rRNA from 1 species